rnacentral:lncRNA from 1 species
AAAUGCAUGGAGCUGCCCUCGCCUGGGAGUUUCACACACUGACUAUUAUUCUUUUUCCCUGUCUACCCAAGAAUCCCCCAGGGAGCACUGCAGAGGCGCCUCUGCCGGCGUGCACCCCAGAUCCUGCGAGGAUGGUGAUAGCUACAGGCAUCAGGGAACAUCCUCUGCGGAGAAGUGCAGAGGUGAGACCAGUGGCGAACACCAGCGGUGUGAGCAGGGCCCAAGCAGAGCCAGGCAGCCCGUGUCCACUGGGUCAGCGGGGCCUGCCGAGAAAGGAGAGGACUCCAGCCCUGCCAUUACAAGUGCUUCCCAGCGGGACCGCCCCCGGAAACCCAGCAAGAGACAGGACGGGGCGCCCAGGUCCAGAGGUGCGUCCCAGAAAAGACGCACCCAUCAGCUCAGAGACAGGUGCUCCCCCGCUGGGUCCAGCCGGCCUGGCAGUGCUAAGGCGGAAGUUGCCCGCGCUGAUCAGAGUUCUGUCCACCAUGACACACCAAGAAACAAGGUGACCCAGGACAAGCUUGUAGGAGGGGUCUCCUCGGAUGUGCCACUCAGCACAGAAGAGCUGGGGUCAGGAUGCCAGAAGCUUUAUGAGGACCUGUGUGCAUCUCCGGAGAACAAUGUGGCUCACGGCCCCCGACCUGGACAGAGUGUGAAUAUCCACCUUCUUCCCGUAGAACAGCGCCUGCUGAUAAUCCAGAGGGAACGGAGCAGGAAGGAGCUGUUUCGGAGAAAAAACAAGGC